UUGGGGCUGGCGGCGAUCGAGCGGGCAAGGAGGAGGCAGGCAUCAUGCGUGCUCUGGCUGAAGGCGGGCGGCGCCAGCACGCAGUUCUUCCAUGCAAAGAUCUGCUCUUAGAGAAGGCGCAAUUUCAUCCAUUCACUCACCACAGCCAGCCGCACUGCCACAGCUCACGAGGACAAGGCCAACAUCAUCCAUGAUCACUUCAGCUCCCUACUUGGAUCCAGUCUCCAGCGCGGAUGCACAUUCAACUGGGAAGAAUUGCACCUGCCCUCUGUGGAUUCCCGAGGUCUCGAUGCUCCUUUCACAGAGGCAGAAGUGUGGGCAGCGAUUUGUGCUUCCCCGACGGAAAAGGCGCCGGGGCCGGAUGGCUUCUCAGGCGGCUUCUUCAAGGCGUGA
rnacentral:rRNA from 1 species